UACGGAGGGGGCUAGCGUUGUUCGGAAUUACUGGGCGUAAAGCGCGCGUAGGCGGACCUGCAAGUUGGGGGUGAAAGCCCGAGGCUCAACCUCGGAACUGCCUUCGAUACUGCGGGUCUCGAGUCCGGGAGAGGUGAGUGGAAUUCCUAGUGUAGAGGUGAAAUUCGUAGAUAUUAGGAAGAACACCAGUGGCGAAGGCGGCUCACUGGCCCGGUACUGACGCUGAGGCGCGAAAGCGUGGGGAGCAAACAGG
rnacentral:rRNA from 1 species